rnacentral:misc_RNA from 1 species
AACCUAGCACACCUGCGGUGUGUACCUGCGGAGGGAUCAUUAACCCUUCAAAUCAGGGUGCGGCGCGGCCCCCGAGGAGCGGAAACAAUCCUUGGGAGGUAUGCGGGGGCUUCGAGCCCCCCAUUUACGCACGCACGACUGCCAUCCUUACUUUACGAGCACCUUCUGUUCUCCCUCGGCGGGGCAACCUGCCGUUGGAACCGAAUAAACUCUUUUUGCAUCUAGCAUUACCUGUUCCGA